rfam:Brassica napus, WGS project CCCW01000000 data, contig: 16865
GGAAUAUAAUAACCCGUCUCUUAACUUUUAACUAAAAAAACUAAGAACCGGUUCUUAAAUAAGAGUUUUAAGAGCCGGUUCUUAACUUUUUUAGUUAAAAGUUAAGAGACGGGUUCUUUUAUUCC